rnacentral:rRNA from 1 species
UGGGGAAUAUUGGACAAUGGGCGAAAGCCUGAUCCAGCCAUGCCGCGUGUGUGAAGAAGGCCUUUUGGUUGUAAAGCACUUUAAGCGAGGAGGAGGCUACCGAGAUUAAUACCCUUGGAUAGUGGACGUUACUCGCAGAAUAAGCACCGGCUAACUCUGUGCCAGCAGCCGCGGUAAUACAGAGGGUGCGAGCGUUAAUCGGAUUUACUGGGCGUAAAGCGUGCGUAGGCGGCUUUUUAAGUCGGAUGUGAAAUCCCUGAGCUUAACUUAGGAAUUGCAUUCGAUACUGGGAAGCUAGAGUAUGGGAGAGGAUGGUAGAAUUCCAGGUGUAGCGGUGAAAUGCGUAGAGAUCUGGAGGAAUACCGAUGGCGAAGGCACUCUGCUGGGCCGACACUGACAC